AGGAGUUUGCUUAAAUUACAUGAAUGAAUGGUGUUUAUCUUCUUUAAAUGAUUCAUUCUUGUCUGUAAAACGUGAUUAAAAGUAAAAUCAGAUGAAUUAUUAACAUACAGAUCAAUGCAAUGAGAAGUGGAUUAAUCAAAACAACGACCGUCUAUACUACGUCCUUGACCGGCAGCUGAUUGGACGAACGCGUCACGUGGGUCCAGGUACUCUCCUGAAUUUCAAAAGCAUAAUGGCGGCUCGUUCGGAGUAUACAAUAUCGUAUUUUACGAAAAUGGUUCAUCGAAACGUGUUUUUAAAGACAUUUUAGACGAAAAAUAGGCCACGCAGUUGCUGAAUCUGUCAUCAUUUCAGAUCCACAAAGGUCAGUUUGAAAGAUUUUCGUCAGAUUUUGAGAGGCGGGAAACGAGACGGCCGCUACUCAUUUGAAUAUGGGUAGUUUGAUUAAUCUAAUUCAACUAACAUGAGAAUGAGCGGGCGAAUCGAUGCUCCGCUUCUCGCGAUGCUACCAGAAUGCAUUGCACGGCUCCCUUGAAGCGUGGACGUGACGCUGACUUUGAUUCAGGAGUCGGAUACAACAGACACGGAUGACUAGCUGCAUGUUUCCCAUCCUCCAUCAUCCACGUGUAAGUCAAUUUCGAACAAGUUCUGUCCCCAUGCUUUGAGAGGUGUACCUCAUGAAAUACAUGUGACGUGUAUGUGGCAGUGCAAACAUUGUCCCACCAGAGAGAGAACAAGGUACAAAUUACUUAAACAUUAUAAACUACAUCAUCAUUAUGUGAGAGGCCAACAAUAUCAAUGCAUAUAUGUAAAUUGUCCAUGCACAUUCAGGACGUGGACUGGACUCCACACCCAUGUCUAUAAAGCGCAUUCAUCGCAACCUACACAGACUGCUUUGAAUUCAGUUACAUUUAAAUGUGAGGUAUGUGAAUGUAGUGACCUCUCUACUGAAAGAGAUUUUUUUGUUCAUAUUGGGACACAUCUGCAUAGUUGUGAGACAGUUAGUUGUGUAUUUCUUGGAUGCUCUUUCCAGACAAAUACAUCCCUCUAUCAUCUGUGUGUGUGCACGUAAGCGCUGGAGCGCGCUGCGACACUUCGAUAGCAUUUAGCUUAGCCCCAUUAA